AUCCGAGUGCUGGAAUUGGUAGACAGGAUAAACUUAAAUUUUAUUGAUUUUUAUCAUGUGGGUUCAAGUCCCUCCUCGGGUA
rnacentral:tRNA from 1 species